AAGUGUCUGAGUAUGCAAUAU
rnacentral:siRNA from 1 species